rnacentral:rRNA from 1 species
UACGUAGGGGGCAAGCGUUGUCCGGAAUCAUUGGGCGUAAAGAGCGUGUAGGCGGCCCGGUAAGUCCGCUGUGAAAGUCCAGGGCUCAACCCUGGAAUGCCGGUGGAAACUGUCGGGCUCGAGUACGGAAGAGGCGAGUGGAAUUCCUGGUGUAGCGGUGAAAUGCGCAGAUAUCAGGAGGAACACCACUUGCGAAGGCAGCUCGCUGGGACGUAACUGACGCUGAGACGCGAAAGCGUGGGGAGCAAACAGG